GCAGGCUGCAACCCGCCUGCAUGAAGUUGGAAUCGCUAGUAAUCGCGGAUCAGCAUGCCGCGGUGAAUACGUUCCCGGGCCUUGUACACACCGCCCGUCACACCAUGGGAGUCGGUAACACCCGAAGCCUGUAGUCUAACCGCAAGGAGGACGCAGUCGAAGGUGGGAUUGAUGACUGGGGUGAAGUCGUAACAAGGUAAC
rnacentral:rRNA from 1 species